GUCGGAGCUUAAAAUACAAUAUUGUUAUCUCCAUUCUAAUGAAACUGACAGAAAACAAGGUUAAAACAUGUAAUUAAAAUCUGUCAUAUGCCGUCUGCACUUGCGCGUACGUCCCAUAGCAUCAAUUGUCAAUUGAUGCCAUGUAAAAAAAGUGACGUUAUCCAAUCAAAAUGAACGUUACAAACUUUGUUGCAUUAGAAU
rnacentral:lncRNA from 1 species